rnacentral:rRNA from 1 species
UACAGAGGUCUCGAGCGUUAGGCGGAAUCAUUGGGUUUAAAGGGAGCGUAGGCGGACUUGUAAGUCAGUGGUGAAAUCUGUGGGCUUAACCCACAAACUGCCAUUGAUACUGCAGGUCUAGAGUACAGUUGCCGUUGGCGGAAUAUGACAUGUAGUGGUGAAAUACUUAGAUAUGUCAUAGAACACCGAUUGCGAAGGCAGCUAACGAAGCUGUAACUGACGCUGAGGCUCGAAAGUGCGGGGAUCAAACAGG